AACGAACGCUGGCGGCAGGCUUAACACAUGCAAGUCGAGCGCCCCGCAAGGGGAGCGGCAGACGGGUGAGUAACGCGUGGGAAUCUACCCAUCUCUACGGAAUAACGCAUGGAAACGUGUGCUAAUACCGUAUACGUCCUUCGGGAGAAAGAUUUAUCGGAGAUGGAUGAGCCCGCGUUGGAUUAGCUAGUUGGUGGGGUAAGGGCCUAGCAAGGCGACGAUCCAUAGCUGGUCUGAGAGGAUGAUCAGCUACACUGGGACUGAGACACGGCCCAGACUCCUACGGGGGGCAGCAGUGGGGAAUAUUGGACAAUGGGCGCAAGCCUGAUCCAGCCAUGCCGCGUGAGUGAUGAAGGCCCUAGGGUUGUAAAGCUCUUUCACCGGUGAAGAUAAUGACGGUAACCGGAGAAGAAGCCCCGGCUAACUUCGUGCCAGCCGCCGCAGUAAAAC
rnacentral:rRNA from 1 species